GGCAGUGGCGAACGGGUGCGUAACACGUUGGUAUCUGCCCCAGACUCAGGGAUAACAUGCCGAAAGGUGUGCUAAUACCGGAUGGUCCCGCAAGGGUAAAGCUUUUGCGGUCUGGGAGGAACCUGCGGCCUAUCAGCUUGUUGGUAAGGUAACGGCUUACCAAGGCUAUGACGGGUAGCUGGUCUGAGAGGAUGAUCAGCCACAAUGGAACUGCGACACGGUCCAUACUCC
rnacentral:rRNA from 1 species